rnacentral:lncRNA from 1 species
GUCCCUGGGCGAAAAACAGUAGGGCUUUUGGAAAGUGGUUGUUCUGAGAACAAUGACACUGUUGCGCGCGUGCAUGUGAAGACUCCAUUUUCUAUUUUCAGUGUUUGAAUGAAAACAAUGUCUCCCAGUUGGAAUAUUAUCGCUAUUUUACGAGAAAAAUCGCAUAAAAAUUGAUUUUAAACAGCGUUUGACAUGCUUCCAAGUACGGUAAUGGAAUAUUUGGAAUUUUUUUGUCACGAUACGCACCGGCGCGUCACCCUUCGGAUAGUGUCUUGAACGCAAGAACAAAACGCAGCUAUUUGGAUAUAACUAUGGAUUAUUUGGAACUAAAACAACAUUGGGUGUUGAAGUAGAAGUCCUGGGAGUGCAUUCUGACGAAGAACAGCAAAGAGGAACGUGGUACCUUCAGGCGUUUGGAAAUUACUCCCAAGGAUGAACCAGACUUGUGGAUGUCAACAACAACAAAAAAUGGAGGUAUUGGCAGAUUUCUUUUGAUUUACCCAUGAUGUCAAGCAAAGAUUCACUGAGCUUGAAGAUAGGCCGUGAAAUACAUCCACAGGAUGAAAAGAUCAGAAUGAUCAAAGAAGAGAGACGGUGACAUGGAAACCUUGAGGAGACGCAUGACAGUGAAGCAAUAGCUUAUGACUACUGUGAAGUUCAUCACCAUACUACCAACCGCAUGGUAGCGCCAGAUAACAAUCAAGGGACCUGAGCCCUAGGACCAUGCCUCAGGACUACCUGGCAUGAUGACUCCUUGCUGUCCCCAGUCCACCUGGCCGUGCUGCUGCUCCAGUUUCAACUGUUCUGCCUGCGGCUAUGGAACCCUGACCUGUUCACCGGACGUGCUACCUGUCCCAGACCUGCUGUUCUCAACUCUCUAGAGACAGCAGGAGCGGUAGAGAUACUCUCAAAGAUCGGCUAUGAAAAAGCCAACUGACACUUUCUCUUGAUUUGCUGACUUGUUGCACCUUCGACAACUACUAUGAUUAUUAUUAUUUGACCAUGCUGGUCAUUUAUGAACAUUUUAACAUCUUGACCAUGUUCUGUUAUAAUAUCCACCCGGCACAGCCAGAAGAGGACUGGCCACCCCUCAUAGCCUGGUUCCUCUCUAGGUUUCUUCCUAGGUUUUGGCCUUUCUAGGGAGUUUUUCCUAGGGAGUUUUUCCUAGCCACCGUGCUUCUUUCACAUGCAUUGCUUGCUGUUUGGGGUUUUAGGCUGGGUUUCUGUACAGCACUUUCAGAUAUCAGCUGAUGUACGAAGGGCUAUAUAAAUACAUUUGAUUUGAUUUGAUUUCUGGAAUUCUCUGGUUUGAGCUCCCCAAUUGUAGACCCUCCUCUGCUUUUCUUGGGCUUGGGCCAUAUGAUCUCUUACCAUUGGCCACAACUUCUGCAUCUGAUCACCCAUUUCAGCCACAUGGUCAAUGAGAAUGGGAUGUGGGCUUGACUCAGUCUCCCAGGUCUCCUUUGCAAUGUCCAGGAGGCCCCGUGGUUGUCGUCCAUAAAGGAGCUUGAACGGGGAGAAUCCAGUUGACGCCUGGGGUACCUCCCUUAUGGAAAAGAGAAAAUAUGGCAACAACUGGUCCCAGUUCCUUCCAUCCUGGUCUACUAUCUUACGGAGAAUGCUCUUUAAGGUUUUAUUAAAUCUUUCAACGGGCCCAUCUGUCUGAGGGUUGUGGGGGGAAAUUACAAAAUUACUUAUGCUACCCCGUGUUUUAUUGCUUAAAGAAUUGUCUCUUGUUAUAUGUUAGUGUUUUUUUCUAACCUGAUACAAACUUGUCUUUGUGUGACUUAGUCAUAAGACUGGGCGUAUAGCUAAGAUCCGUUUGGGUGCAGGAAGUCAGCGGUAUGGAAACUUGCAGGAAGGAGCACAUUAUAGUGUGAACUGUGAUAAACGCAGUUAUGGGGUUGAGCCCUCGUGCUAUCAACCUUGGACUAUCUUAAUCUGCACAGACAAACCAAUCUCCUUUUACACACUAUGUUCCGCCACUGUUUCCACACAUCUGCUAACUGCGACCUAGACAAAAAACAUUUGUACUUUUUCUAUAAAAGCUGAGACCCAACUAUGUUCAUUGGGCUUUUAACCCUGCACUAUUUGAGUGAUUGUUGAUUGCUCCAUUUUUGCAAAUCUUAUAAUAAAAUAGCUUUCUG